rnacentral:misc_RNA from 1 species
UCCGGCUUAUGCCGGCAGUCCCACUAAAGUGCCAAACUUAAUUGGGGCAACUAGUGGUAAGGGUCGCGCUCGUUGCGUCACUUAAGACAACAUCUCACGACACGAGCUGACGACAGCCAUGCAGCACCUGUGUCUAGGUUCCCGAAGGCACAACUCGAUCUCUCGAGUCUUCCUAGCAUGUCAAGAGCAGGUAAGGUUUUUCGCGUAGCAUCGAAUUAAUCCACAUCAUCCACCGCUUGUGCGGGUCCCCGUCAAUUCCUUUGAGUUUUAAUCUUGCGACCGUACUCCCCAGGCGGUCUACUUCUCGCGUUAGCUUCGCUACUAAGACUAAUCCCAACAGCAAGUAGACAUAGUUUACAGCGUGGACUAC